UAUCAUCAUCAUUGUAAUGGCAGCUACGAGAGUCUGUACUUCCUCCAAUUUCUCUGCUACAACAUGAUUUUCAGAUGAUUUCUCCUCUCAAAAGCAAGAAGAAAGGUUAUCAAAAAAUUUUUUUGGUGAAGAUUAUUACUCCAACACACUUUAUGAGUGAGAGCUUUUACAGAAAGUUUGAAUUCUUUGAUGCUUUCAUCCAAACCAAUCUAAAGAACUUCAUCAGCACCAACCCUGAAGAGAUAUUUCCAAAAUUG
rnacentral:lncRNA from 1 species